rnacentral:lncRNA from 1 species
CCCUCUGCUCCUCUUGGAAGCUCUGCCCUCUCUCGCCGGUGGUCUGCUCUGCAACGGCGCAACCUGCACCGACUCCAAGUUGGAAAACCGUCACUGACUCUGUUUCUGCUUCUGCUGUAGGUCAGUUUUUUAUUUUUUUAGUUAUUCUUUUUAAUUUUUAUACUGGAUUUUUGCUGUUUUAAUGUAUUGAUGCUAAUUGUAUUUGUUUUAGUUAUGAACUUUGAUAUUUGAAGUUGUUUGUGAAUUUUUAAUAUUAAAUCAUGGAUAAUUUAUUUUGUGAAAUUUUGAAUUUUAUUAUGUUCGAAAUUAUUUAAUUUAUAUGUUUAAAAUAUAUGUAGGUUUUUAAUAAUUUUAUUUAAUAUUUAAUUAAAUCGGUUGAAUUCUAGUCGAACCAGUAAACCAUUGAACCAGCGAACCUUGGUGGUUUGAUUUAAUUUUUGGGUGUUUCCAAUUCUUUGGGUUUUAUUUUGUAUAUGUUUUCUAGCUUGAUGUUUGCACCCGGUUUUAUUUGUUGUUGAGUUGGCUCUAGGCUGUUCCUCCAUUACUAAUAGAUUCUAAUUGAUAACAACUCAAAACACUACCACACUCAUGUUUAGUCUUUUAAUUCAUAAUACACAAUUUAAGUGAUAGUAGCGGUUGCAUCUAUUAAUCAUUGCGAGUUUCUUAUAAAAGGAAAAUAAUUUAGCUUUUAUUAUUUUAAUUAAAUUGUUUGGAGUGAUAGUUUUUGCUUCUAGAGUUAAAUGUUGUAGUUUGAAGACCGGUAAUCCAAUAUGCAUGUAUUAAAUUGUGGUUAGAAAUAGGCCCUAUAGCAACCCCACUCUCCCAAGCCAAAUCCCAAAUUCAGCCUGCCUUUCCUUUCCUCCCCUCUAUACGCGCCAUGCGCACACCCACGUCUUAGCAUGGCAUUCCCUUUCUCUCCAUGUCUGCCAAGUUAACAAUACUUGGGGACCCACUCAAUUUUUUCACUCUGAUUCUGCUUAAUUCCGAAACUGUUGCUGAACCUUUUGUGCCUAUAUACAGCGCUUUGGGGUAUUUAUGUGUAUUAUAAAAUGGCAGCCACGGCACCAGGGUGAUAUGCCGUUGCGGAUUUUGAGCUCUCCGCGGUAGCAAAGCUGUUUUGUCUCGGUAAUCACGGCGAUCUGCAACUGUCCACGGUGGAAAUGGCGGGUUUAAGUUGCAAUUUUUUUAAAAUUUGGAAAUGACAUUGUAGUUUUUAGCCCACGUCUUACGAUCUAAUUUGUAGUUGUAGACUGUAUCUAAAGUAGCAUUGCCAAUAGUAUGAUGCCAACUCCGAAACCUGUAACUCUGAUCAAUUUUCGGAUCCGGUGAUGGUCGAUAAAAGGCCAAUAGACAGCUAACAAAAAUUUUAUUCUUCGAUUGACAUCCCAAAAUAAAACUGGAUUGAGAGUUCACUUUAUUUUGAGGUCGGUGUCACUAAAUUAAAAUUAUUUUCAGUUAAGAAGGUUUCUCAUCAUGUUAACUAAUUAAAAAAAAUAAACAAUAAAAAAUACCUCGAAUAGACUCUCAAUUGAUUUAAACAAAAAUCUUCAAUUUCCUUUAUGUAUAGAGUGCCUUCUUUAAAUGGGAAAUUUAAAACCUUACUAAUAAUAUUUAGUAAGUCGUGAUAUUGUUUUUUUUUAUUUUUGUCUUAUUCUUUUUUCGUCUCAAUUAGAAUCCCACGUCUCUGUCCAUUACAUAUUUGAACCUUGAU